rfam:Alkalibacterium sp. AK22 ATG3_contig_40, whole genome shotgun sequence.
GCCGGGGUGGCGGAAUUGGUAGACGCACAGGACUUAAAAUCCUGCGGAGAGUAUUCUCCGUGCCGGUUCGACUCCGGCCCUCGGUA